UCAGGCCGCCAUGGCGGAGAUGGGGCAGAGGCUUCCUCUACAAAGCCGUGGGGCGGCCGGGCCCGUGCCCCUCCGGAGGGCGAGAUGGGCUGUGGCAGGAGGCGGGCACACACCGGCUGGCAACAAAAUGUAACAGAAACUGCGGGGCUGUGUGAGAAGCUGUGCGGCGGCCAGGUGGACACGGGGAUUAAAGUGCAGCAAAAAUCCCGAAGCGAGGCGGAAAGCAGCGCGGCUGGGCAGCGCCAGACAGGUUCCGCAAGCAGUGCCACAUGGAGGCAACAAAUGGGAGAAAAAUUCCUUGAGAGAAAGAAAAAGGAAAAAUCCUAACAUCCAACACUGGGGAAGAGGGGGAGAGUGACUUCGGGCAAGGCUUACUUCGAGGUUUGUUUGGUUUUUUUUCUUUUAAGAUGCAAUAUCUAAACAAACAUGCCUUUAAUGGUUGCCUUAUACAUUCACAGGAGACACAAGUUUAAGCAUCCCUUUAUUGCAUAAGCACCAAAGAAGUCAUUGCUCCCCUAGAAGCAGCAGAAAGCACAUGAACAAGCAAACAUGUUUUUUUGAUGUUAUCUCCAUUCAUGCACUGUUUCAGAAUUCCGCUUUCAUUUGGAAAAAGGACUUGUAAACUAAACAGCAAAACAUUUCCCUUUCCUAACAGCCUUUCCAGCCCAUAGUUUCCUCAUAGAGAUGCUGCCUGCAUUCUAGGCUGUGUUUGAUUUGCUUCCUCAAAGAAUGAUGAGAAAUGCUGUAUUCCCUCAGGCCAGAUGCCCAUAUAUUUCAGUGCCCUAUCCCUCAUACCAGCCAGGAGCAGAGGCUCAGAUAAAUUUAAGGAGUAAGGUCACAUUUCAGUAUGGUUUUCUCUCUCUGCCAGUGGUCUGUACUCCCCA